GGCAAAGGUCAUGAAAUAAUUAGGUUUAUCAAAUAUGGAUAAACCCUGUUAUUUCAUGCAGUUAAGCAUAUUGUUUGGGGCAAGAACUAUAACUCUAGUAAUGUUAAUUCAAGGGCAAUAACUCCACACUUCCUGGUCUUGGAGCGUGCGCAUUAAGCUCUUCCUUUUAUAUUCAACUGUUCCCUGAGUCGGUCACAAAAAAUCCCCUCCCACCCAAACCCAUUAUUUAGAAUUAGGUUGCAUGGUUAUAAUUUAUUAUAAAUUUCCAUUUAAACUACUUGUGAAUAGUUGCAUAGGUAUUGUUUUUGUACAAUUAUAAAUUGUGAAUAGUUUUUUCGGGUUGAGUUUUCUUUUGCAGCGUCAUGGCCAUGAAGAAUAGAAGAAAGAUGUGCUGGAAAGUGAAUAUGGACAAAGAAUGGUUUUGCAGGUCAUCUGUAUUCAAGGACUCGGCAACAAAGUGCAUAAUUUUGAUUAGAAUACUGUCUCCGUGGGGCACUGUUUUUUCCAGGCUCCUCGGGUCAAGAGAGUAUUUCUAAUAUUGUAUAUUACAUAUAUAUAUUUGAUAUAUGCUGCCAUAUUGUUUGAACGGCGCAUGUCGAGUUCAAUGUACAUGUAUGAAAUCUAUCUGAUGUACAUGUACUAUAUAUCUGACUGAUAUCUAUCUGAUAUUCAUGUACUUAUCUAAUUUUUGCACAUUUGAUUAAACGGCCAUGACAACUACGCCAAACAA
rnacentral:misc_RNA from 1 species